rnacentral:tRNA from 1 species
AAUAAAGUGCCUGAUUAAAGGAUUAUUUUGAUAGGAUAAAUCAAGUGAAUUAAUUCACCUUUAUUA